rnacentral:rRNA from 1 species
UACGGAGGGUGCGAGCGUUGUCCGGAAUUACUGGGCGUAAAGGGUGCGCAGGCGGUUAUAUAAGACAGAUGUGAAAUCCCCGGGCUCAACCUGGGAAUUGCGCUUGAGACUGGUGUGCUUGAGUCCGGAAGAGGCGAGUGGAAUUCCCGGUGUAGCGGUGAAAUGCGCAGAUAUCGGGAGGAACACCAAUGGCGAAGGCAGCUCGCUGGGACGGUACUGACGCUGAGACGCGAAAGCGUGGGGAGCAAACAGG